UUAGGUUGGUGCAAAAGUAAUUGCCAUUACUUUCAAUGGCAAAAACUGCAAUUACUUUUGCUCCAACCUACUA
rnacentral:miRNA from 10 species